UUAUUUUUUUGAAAAUGUCAGAUAAAGAGGAGGAUCCUGAUGAUCAUAAAGAUAUUUAAAGAUGCAUCUGUCACCUGAACAUUCACAAGAUUCUCUGCUCAUACGGUGCAUCUGAUCCUCUGAGCUGGACGUCUGAAGCGAUGAUCACAAACAUGAUUGUGUUGCUGUGUUUGUCUGCGCUGUUUCCCGUCUUGAUGGGCGCUGAAGAGGUCAGAUGUUUUCGUACCACUGACUGCUCUGAUGUGUA